rnacentral:lncRNA from 1 species
CGGGCGGGCCGUUACCUCCCGCGCAUGCUCUAUGGGGUAGAGACGCUAGGCCGGCACUGCCUAGGUGGGCCGGGCGGUGCGAGGGUCGCCUUUCAGCCUUUACCUCUACCCACUGAAAUGGAGUAGGUCGGUGAGCGCCGAUCUGCUGGAGAAUCUCAUUAUCCCAUCGGCGCUCUGCCUGCUCCUGGCCUCCAAGCCUCUGAAGCCCCUCGGGUUUCAGCUGCCGGCUACCCUCGAGCCCGUGGUGCCCACGAGAGAGGCGACUUUACGUCAGCGGCCCUGGGCUGAGAUUUGAGAACGCGACCAAGUGGAGAAUGUUGGAGCCAGAUUUUAAAAUCCUUGUCUUCCUUCUGCGUGCUACUUGAUCUAAAUGAGAUACGGCAAAGUCACAGAACCUGUUUUUAUGUUUUUGCCUGAUUCAUACGGGCUUCUCCGGUGAAGAUGGGCCUGAAGUAACGCUUGGGUUGCUUCUGACGUUAUAACUCAUCCUGUAGCUGCAGCAACCGUGGUCCUUGCAACCUCAUAAAAAUGUUGCCAGCAUUGUUUCGAUAGUGCUGCUUAAUUCUUGGAAGGUUCUUCGGACUUCACACAUUCCAGCAGUAGCUCUCUCAGCUCCUGUCCUGCACAGCUUUGAAGUGCUGGUGAUGUCAUUGAACUCUUAAGUGCAAGAUGAAACAAGUCUUUCUGGGGUUCUAAGUAGGACACAGCCCUGGUGAUGGCUUUCUGAGGAUGACACGAUGGAGGCUUCUCCAAUAGCUCUAAAACUGCGGUGUGGAAAACAUUCGGCAGCCUCAAAGAGCGGUCUUGUUGACCCCAACUAUAUCAUUUUUCAUCAAAAUCAUUCUUGUAAAGAAUGACCAGGCAACACUCUUUGAAAAUUGGAGGCCAUUUGCAGCUGCUCUCUGUUGAGGAAAGUGAAUAAUAGGGUGCCCUCAAGGAAUUGCAAAGGUAUCACUCAACAGAAACUUUCGUGUCUGAAGAAAACUAGAUCAUUUUAUCAUGGGACACGCUGCGGAUGGCUUGAGAUUAGUAUCUGCGCAGGUGCCAUUCUCACAGUGUGUGCUGUGAGAAUGUCGCAGACGUGUGCUGCUACUCUGGCACUCACACUUGUCCAGGCUGUUUCUUAGGUGGUCAUCUUGCCUGUGGUAUCAGAAAAAGGGAUUUCUACUUAGUAUUAAGAAGUUGAAACCAAAGUAGAAAAUAUUCAUCCUUUGCUUUCCCCAAACAAUUCUUCUGCCUAGAAAUGUCAACAACUUAACCACAUGCAAAUACCCAUUUGUGGACAAAUGUGUACAAAAGACAUUUGGGGUUCCCCUCUUUGAGACUAGAUUAAAGCUGACCAUAUAGAUAGGGAAGAAAACUGUUUUUCUCUGUAGCAUCAUAUUGCUGCUUUGUAUAUUUUCUGAUAGAGUAGCAUCAGGUCCUCUGGCUGCUUUAUUGAAAUCAUCUUUGACGUUUCUAACAAGGAAAUUUCCUGUGCAAAACUCUAGUUAGAGAUUUCAGUGACUUGUAUCACCAAGAGGAGGACCAUCAGCAUGCAGUGGAGGUCUAGGCUUCAGACAUGUGAGGCACACUGAGGAGCAGCUUUAUUUGCAAGAGGUAUUAGGAAUCUUCCUAACAAAGUUGACCUUCAGGAUGGGAGAAAUCAAAGCACAGACCAUAGAUCCAAAAAAAAUGGCUUCUGGUCAGAAAAGGUGAUCUGAGAUUAGGGGAAGAUGUGUCAUCAAUAUCAUCCCCUGGUCCAGCCCUGUGAAAUCACACCUGAGUGGUAGAGAAAUAUCUAUGAAAAAAUAGUAAAACAGAAACAAAUGUUUCUGUCUGGCAGACAGGCAGCUGCAUGGCUUUCAGGGCCAGGUAGAGGGGACAUCACAUGUACAUGGUGGCAGCGGGAUGUCCCCAGGUAGCAGAAAGUCGCAGGUGGCUCAUCAGAGACCCUAAAGAACUAGCCCCCUACUUGUAGGUGUCAGUGGCUGUGGUAGGAGUGGCCAUAGAUAGUUUCUGGUUACACAAGAUUGGUGUGGGAACAGCAUGACCACGAGAAAAAUCUGGGUUGACGGCCCCAGGGAGCUGGAGCAGAAUAUUAACAAUAGUAGCUAGCAUUUGAGUGCUGCCCAUGUGCUUGAAAAUGUUCUAGGUGAUUUACCUUUAUUAGCUCCUAUAAUUCUCAAAACGACCUCGAGUUAGGUCUUUCUAUUAUUCCUAUUUUAUAGACAAAGCAGUGGAGCCACAGAGAGGUUAAGUAACUUGCCCAAUGUCACACAGCAAAAAGUGGCAGAGCCACAAUUUUAAUUUGGGUUGAAGAGGAAAAUAGAUAAUGCAUAUUCCUAGGAUCUGAGAGAUGUUUGAGGUGAGGGGGAAUGAGAGGCUCUCCUUUGAAAGAAGCAGCAGGGGGUACUGAAACAGAGUAGAAGAGUGUGAAAGCUGGUGGGGUUGUUGUUGUUGUUGUUUUUAGUCCUAAGUUAGUGGCAUGAAAGCACUGCCCUGGAAGCGAUGGAGCAGCAAGUGCUCUACCCACAUGGAAGUCUUUGGGACCUGCACUUCAAUGAGCGCAGAGAGGAAAAGGAGAGAAGAACCAACACAACUGAAGCACCUACGAGCGUCAGGCACUGGCCCAGCUGCCAUGGACCCCCGAGUUGAAGGUCGUAUAACCUCAGCCUGCCCAAAUGAACCAAGCACACAACCACAGGGGGAACCCAAGAGUUCCAGUGGGAGAGCUGGAAGAGGAGGGACCAAUGUGAGAAGUGGACACCAUAUGGCAGGAUCCAGGAUCCAAUCAGACUGAGCCCUGGGGUCACCCCAUGGAAGGAUCCAGUUGGAUCAUGCCUCCUGGCAUCACCUACUGCAAGAUCCAAUCAGAUCACACCUCCUUACCCUAUGCUUAUAAAACCCCACCCAGCCCCCAGCCCGAAGAUACAGAUUUGAGUAUUUCCUCCUGUUUCCUUACCAGUCGAUUUGCAAUAAAGCUUUUUUUUUUUUCCUAA